CUAGUACUGUAUGUGAAGUAAUAGGCUCAGCAGCACAGUAAAGCAUCCUUACUUUUGCAAUUGAAGGAAUUUGAAUUCCUUCAGCAGUUUGUUGGCACAAUUUAUGACGGUUAUUUAUAUUCAUUGCAAGCCUGGGGGCAGAACGCAGCUUGAAAGGGGGGUUGCCAGUAAGAGUUUGAAUCCUUAGAAAAUUAUUCAACAGCUAACUCAAGCUCUGUGGAGCCUUCUUCUUCUGCAAGGAGGAUGUUUCUUAGCCCUGUGGUGUGGAACACCAUAUUCCAAUCUUCUGGAAGAGCAAGAAAAUAGGAUCCCCUAAUCAUUUUGGGUCAAAAUCUCCUGAAUUUCACCAGUGUCACCACAGUGAGCAUAAACCAGCAAAAUUUACAAGCAUACCAUCUAUAGUAAGAGGACAAGCAUUUUCCUUUGUACAGCAGGGUCAUGAACAGUGAAAGAGGCCUCUGAAUGCUACUGAAAUGCAUGACAAUCAAAAAGAAGAAUUUUAAGAAUGUCCAGACGUUUCAUUUUUUUCCAAAGUGAACAUUCUGGAAGGGUAUGUGGUACCUCUGGCAAAGCUGGCUCUGCAGUGUUUUUGUUUUCUGUUUUUAUCAGUGUAGUCUCUCCUUUUGCAAAAAGAAACAGAAACUGUACUUAAAGAAGCUGAUGCCUAUUAAGGUAUUUGGAGUUUUUGUGUAGGUUUAUAACAAAGAUAUUGUUAAAAGAAAGGAUGCUAUAUAAUUCAUAGGUGCACUUCUUUAUCAUUUCCUACAGUGUAAUGCUGAUGGUAGUAAUUAUGUUUUGAAUAUUUGGAGGCAGGAUGGCACUGGAGGUGGAAACUCAGCAAAAGAAAUCACAGGCAUGAUUUAGGUAUGAACAUUUUAAUAUUUUUUCCCCUUUUUAAAACUUCAUUAGUUACUUGUGACCUAGAGGUUU
rnacentral:lncRNA from 1 species